rnacentral:misc_RNA from 1 species
GUUUUGAAUUUUUCAUCAUUAAUGCUCAAACUAUAUAUAUAGGUGUAUCCUUUGUGUCAUUUUUGCUUUAUUUGCUUCCCUGAAUUUUCUCGAAUUUCCUCCAGCGGGCGAUUUUUGCAUUUCUUGAUGUCAUUCAAGCGAAGUGAUUUCUUCUAGUGAAAAGUUGUGCUCUCUUUUUUCUGCCUUCUUCUUUUCUGUUGCUCUUUUUUCUUUUUCAAAGAUGAGUGAUAUCGAUAGUCAAAGGACAGAGAGUACUCCGUUUGUUCAAUUUUCGUGAAGUUCCAAUGAGGAUGUGGGAAUUAGUGGGCGGGAUGAUGUAGGUGAAGUGCAAACUGAGCCAAAUCCACAUAACUUUAACGGUCCUAGCAAAAAGAAAGCUCAAAAGCCAAGGAAAGAGUCGCUUCCGGUGGAUAAGGUUCUGUCAGUUCUGUUAUCCUCCAAUCUUGCCUGAAUAAGUGAAGAGUUCCAACCUCUCGGGGGAUUUGUUCCAACUAAUCAAGUGUCAUGGGGACUUUCAU